rnacentral:rRNA from 1 species
UUGAACGCUGGCGGCAGGCCUAACACAUGCAAGUCGAGCGGCAGCGCGGGGCAACCUGGCGGCGAGCGGCGGACGGGUGAGUAACGCGUAGGAAUCUACCCAGUAGCGGGGGAUAGCCCGGGGAAACUCGGAUUAAUACCGCAUACGCCCUAAGGGGGAAAGCGGGGUCGCAAGACCUCGCACUAUUGGAAGAGCCUGCGUUGGAUUAGCUAGUUGGUGGGGUAAAGGCCUACCAAGGCAACGAUCCAGAACUGGUCUGAGGGGAUGAUCAUGACACCCGGAACUAGGACAGGGGCCGGAUCCCACGGGGAGGAAGCGUUGGGGAAUAUGGACAAUGGGGGCAACCCUGAUCCAGCCAUGCCGCGUGUGUGAAGAAGGCCUUCGGGUUGUAAAGCACUUUAAGUGGGGAGAAAGGUUCGUCGGUUAAUACCCGGCGGAAUUGAUGUUACCCACAGAAUAAGCACCGGCUAACUCUGUGCCAGCAGCCGCCGUAA